rnacentral:tRNA from 1 species
UUGGGUAUAGCUUAGUGGUGGAGCACUUGCCUAGCAUGCAUGAAGCCCUGGCUUUUAAUCCCAUCAUUCAAA